GUGGGUGAUUACAUCCUGACACCUGAGCUUUGUGUGGAGCGCAAAAGUGUGAGCGACCUCAUUGGCUCGCUGCAUAGUGGCCGCCUAUACAGCCAGUGCCUAGCCAUGUCCCGCUACUACCGGAGGCCUGUGCUACUCAUCGAGUUUGACCCGAGCAAGCCCUUCUCCCUGGCACCACGGGGUGCCUUCGUCCAGGAGAUGAGCAGCAGUGAUGUGAGCUCUAAGCUCACACUCCUCACCUUGCACUUCCCACGCCUGCGGCUGCUCUGGUGCCCCUCGCCCCAUGCCACAGCCGAGCUGUUUGAGGAGCUGAAGCAGAACAAGCCACAACCUG
rnacentral:lncRNA from 1 species